UCUAGCCUGCCCUAGUCUUUAUUGCUAGCAGAAUGGAGAGAGUUUUGUUUUUUGUGUCCAUUAAAAUUGUUUAAUUUGUGGACUCCUGGUAACAAGCUCAUGUGGAAGUUUUUUAUUUAAGCAACCUUCAGUUUGGCAUGCUAGUGUUUGAGAAUGGUUAGGCUUGGCUUAAAAUUGCUGUCCCUGCUGACAAUGACUGUCUGUCUCUGUCAGUUAUCUUCUCUCGGCACAACUCCUGCAGAUGCAGUUAAUUUGAAGUACCACAAGGAAACUUUGAUUGGGACUGAAGGCAUGUCUUUGAGGCUCAUUUGUAAAGCAGAAUAUGACAUAAAAGAGUGUGGUCAUAUUAAAGCAUUUUGGUGCUCUCAACAAAAUGUUUCUGAACACUGUCCAGAACUCUUUGAUCCUCAGAAGUACCUUACCGUUGUCAAUGAGACGCUUCUGGAGGGCAUUCAUCUCAGACUUCGACAGAUUGAUGUAGAAAUUAUACAGCUGACCAGUGCUGACCAAGGAAACUAUCAGUGCCGUGCAGAAUGUGAAAUCAAUGGCCAAACUGCCAAUGGACACUUCAAAUAUAUCACAGUCAAUGCUCCCACAGUUAAAACAAUAGCCAACAACAGUGGACCGAACUGGACAUACAACAUUGGACUCAUGUUAUUCUCUUUUGUAAUAUUGGAGUUACUUGAGAUUCAUCAUAGAUCAGACCAAUGAGAUGGUGUUAGCUAAUGGCCCUGCACUUCAAGCUGAAAAUGAGAACAUCAACGAUACAUGUUAUAUCAAACUCAACACAUAUCUAAGGGGAGCCCAUCGUUUAUAUUUAACGGAUGGUAGUUUACACAGCAUUUGAGAAAAGUGUCCAUUGUGUUUUAUAAAUUGCCUUCAGUGGCCUUCCAUGAUGUAUAUUCCAAUCCACACUUAUGGUGCAAAAUCUAAAAUCCGUCCAGAUCUUGCAGAUACCUUGAUUAUGCACUCUUGUUUUAGGUUACCCCACAGGUUAUUUAAUGUCACAGGUGGCCAAAAGCUUGAUGCUGUAGUAAACAAUUUUACUAAGAGUGCCAAUAAUCGUGGAAGGCCCUGUUUGUAGGAAGACAUUCUACAUAAAUGAAAGAUGUCCUUACACAGCUGUUGCAUUUGAAUCAUUUUCCAUGUGGCUGCUAUUUUAUGGGAUAUUUUUCAUGUGUCCAUAUUUCUUUUUUUAUUCUUUGAAUUUGUUCUUUUUUGUGUGGUAGAGUCUGUUUUCUCUAUCGUCUAUAGGUGAAAAUACAGAAUGAAACAGGAAACCACACACAGCGUGUUGGACCAACGAAUACAGGAUGUGGGGAGGGGAAGGGGUCUGCUUCUCAUGUGAUCUUCAUGAACACAUUUCAGUUUGAGAUCAGAGAAAGAUCUUUAACUGUGAACUUUUGCAAAAGAGAUAUCUAUUUUAAGCAGUGAGACAUCUUUAUCAUUGAAGUCCUUGUAACAACUUGCAUUCCAUUUACAAAACUACCUGCCAACUGCAAUGCUUGUUUUCAUGCUUUGAAGGUACAUUGUCCAAAUCUACAAAACAGGACAUAUUUGUGCUUUUAUCGAUAACAUAACAAUAGCAUGAUGUAGAUAAAAUAAAAAAUGACUACAAUACAAUAUAGGAAUACCUAAUAUACCUAUGGAAGAGGCCAGUGAGUUUAUGUUACCUUAUACACUGCCAUUUUAUUAAUCCAUCUUAGUCUAUUAUCAAGUGGGUUUGUUUGAAUUUCAUGAUAAGCAUUUUAUUGUGUUGCCAGAUUCUGUUAUUAAUGCUAACCACACCAUGUUUACCAUAUUUCUUUUACUAUGUUGAGCAGAAUCAUGUGAACCAGGUGAUAUAAGCAAUUACGUUAUACAAAUUUCCAGAAUCAGAAGGCAGUGUUUCCCAACAUGCAAAACAAGUAAUUAUUUGGGGCCCCUUGUAUGGAGGGGGCCCUGUUGCUGCAUAGUACCAAGUAUUACAAAAAGAACUGCAAGCUGACACCCAUUAUAAUAUACACUUUAUAUUUUAAAGACACGGUUUCAUACAUGAUUACGUAGAUAUAAUACAACUCACACACCCUGUUUGCACAUAUACCUAUUUAAAUAUAUAUAUAUUCAACAUGCCUCAUGACCAAUGUUGGGGAACGUUACUUUUCAAAGUAACUAAUAAAAGUUUUUUUGAAAAGUAGUUUCAGUUACCAUGAAGUAGAUAGUUACUUUACUUAGUUACUUGCUGUAAAAAGUAAGACAUUAAAUUACUUAGCCUUUAUUUGAAUAUAGGUGCUUUGAUUCAUGUGUAAAUCAAGAAAUUAUUUUGCAUUGCAAGUGCCUCCACAUUUUCGGGAACAAUGAGCAAUAAAGAAUAAAAAUAACAACUGUAAACAUAUCUUUUCAAAAAUAAAACACUGCUCAUGACACAUUUGAUCUACCUUAGCAAACUGCUUAGCUAAGACAGGUUCAGUCAUUGGAAAAUAGCCAAAUGAAACGUGAAUAUCCUAGUGGAGCUUAAAAAUGAUUAAGUUAAAGAUGACAGGGAAUUCUGCCGAAGCUCACUUGCGACUUAAAAAGUAACACUGCAAAGAAUUCAGAUGAUAAACAAAAUAUUUGUCCUUGUGAAAUCGCCACCAAUUUUCGGCUAAUGUUCCAAGCGGCUAGAUCGGAAGCUGAACAUGUCUUUCCUGAAUCAUUCCAUUAACAAUGUAUGCAUGACCUGAUGGUGAGUGAAGCUGUCAUUCUCUUGGACCACCCAGCGCUUUGGCCACUGUUAUGGAAAUUCUUGAACUAAUGUACAUUUGAGAAAUGUCUGGUUUUCUAUUACCUGAUUUGUAACUCUAGUCUUUGGUUGUGACACACACAUAUGCAUAAUAUCAGAGGAUCACUAGGUACUCUGACCAUCUGUUCAUCUGCCUAAACCAAUAAGGGUAUCUGUCCUUUGUUCCAUAGGAAUGUAGGAGAGGGGGAUCUGGUAUUUGCCUAGGGGGCAUCAUUGACUGGUAUUGGCAGAUUAUAAGGUUGCUCAUUAAUCUGCGCUACUGUAUAACUCAUUGGGGCAUCUAUUGUCUGUCUGGAUGAUGUAAGACCUUUCAGGAGUUGAAGAGGUUACCCAUGUGGGGGAGGACAGCAUGCCCCUUGGUUACAACUUAGGUAGGAAUAGAAUAAAGGGAAUGUGUUCUUUUGAGUUAGGUCAGCUGUGCAGCAACUUAGCACACCCCUUUUAACUGUAAUAAAUAUGGACUGUUCAUGUAUCUACCUCAGAGAUUCCUCAGAGGAUUAUUCUGUAAGCUUUUGACACGUCUCUCUAUUUGCAAAUAAAAUGUUGAUUGUGGCAAGAUAAUUUUGUCUCUAUACUUACUCAUUUAAGAGUGUCUAUCGAUGGAAUUACCAUCACAUUUUGGAGGCUCAUCCUUUGGUUACCUAACCUGGUGUCUUGAACUCAUAUCCUAGCGGGUCAACCGUGCACAGCUGGAGACUGGGUCUCUGGAGCCUAAUUCCUCCCCCGAUUGUAGGCUGGCUACGAAAAAGGUGAAAGUCAGGGCGCCCGGAUGAAAUUAUAUUCGGGAUUUAUCAGUACAGGUACCCAGGCUCAAAUGUUGAACUCAGGAGGUAAGAGCACAAUACAGUUGCGGUUAGACCACAGGGUAAAAAUCUGCAGUAAAGGUUGGACCUUAUUGUUAAAAUCUGCAGUUAAGGUUGGACCUUAUUGUAAACUGUUAACAGUAAGGUGGUAAGGAAUAUCUCGGGAAUGGCUGACGAGCUUAUUAACGCAUGCUGGGCACGUUAAUCGAGGUACCAAGGUGACUGGCAACGGUUGGACCACACCAUUGUUCGCUCUGGAUCUGGCGUUUUUGCCACGCUUAGGUUUGCUGGGUUUAAUGAUGUGCAAGUGCGGCAGUAAAUGUUUGCCGGUCUUUCGUGUUUACGGUGGACCAGCAAAAAUUAUGUCUGAAGUUUAUGAUGUCUGGACAUGUGAACUUUUGUCGCUCUGGGAGUUGUUAGGUUUUCCGGUUAAUGGCGUUUAGUUCGGAGACGGAUGCCUGGCCUACUGGUCAGAUUGGAGCAAUAUGGCCGAGGUAAUGUACAGAAGUUGCAGAAGGUAUAAUAUAAAGUUGUUUGCAAGGCGUAGGCUACGGUAUGUAGAAAGUGUGGACUUGAUGGAAGCUUUAGGAAAGUUUGUGUGGGGUUUAUUGAUCUCUGUGUUGUAGUUAUUUUGCUCAGGUUGGAUGGAUCGUCCCUCUGACGGCCCCAGCCCACCCACGGUGUUCCGCCAGGCAGACGGCUGGGAGGACUGGGACUUUUGCAUAGUCCCUCCCGGCCCGGCGACACUGCAUCGGUGGGGGACAUUUCCCUACAAUCAACGUACCCAACCCCGCUGCUGACUGGGAUAGCCCCUGAUGCGUUUUGCUCCACUUUAGGCGGGUUGUGAGUAUCAGCUGUUGUGGAAAUUCUUGAACUGAUAUAUACUUGGUCCUUUACAUGUAUAAAUGGGUUACUAGUUAAAGGU